UUUCACUUUACUGUAUUAUCAAUCUUACCAAACUGAGCCUAAUGGAGGGAUCAUUUGUUAUUGAUCGGAAACCUUAAGAGAUGAGAAGCAAUUUCUCAAACGUGAGGACAGAAUUUGUAUUUGCACCUUUCACGGUCCGUGCCCGUUCCCUCUUCCCCUCUCUUUUCUCUAUCUUUCUCUGUCUAGGGUUUGUUUGUUGGUGAUGAUUUACUCUCCAUUGAUUUUUCUGUCAAUCAAGGUACAAAGGUUUGAGUCCCAAUGACUGUCUUCAAUGUAGGUAUUGGAUUACUUUCUAUGUUGAAAAUAAAUAAUGUGAUAGAUUUUUAGAACUUGUGCCAAAAUAUUUCAUUAUUAAUCUCCAUUUGGUAUUUUCACUGUCUUACCUCCUCUGAAAUCACUGUUUAUUGUAGUUGCUUGUGUUUAUUGUUGUAAUUGGAUUAGAAAAAGACUUGUUACUGUUUAUCCACUAAUUUCAUUGUAGUAAUGCUUGUAAUUUAGUUGCGGGAAUUUAAACUGCAAAACUCUGUCCUAUAUAGAUUGUUUAUGAGUCUUCUCUUGGUUUUGGUUGAGUGAAUUGUGACAAAGCUAUGCAUGUAACAAAACAGAAUUUUUGAAGGAUGAUACAUUGAAGAAAACUAAUUGUGCUUCUUGCAGGUGAUAGAAUUUGGUGAGCUAGUGAACCAUAUAACGUCGAAUACCAACUAAAUUGGAAGGAAAAUUUUAUAGAAUUGCUAUAAGGCCAAAGAUGCUUCAUGGGGCAGAUUGUUGGGUAACGAAAAAAUAACAUGUUUAUAAAAAUGAGUGUAGCUAGGACGAGAAUGCUUACAUAGAUGUGUGAUAAGAUUAGAAAAGUUAGAAUUAAACAUGAAUAUAUUUGUGAAAUGGUAGGAGUAACACCUUCAAUAAGUUGGGAGAGAACAUGUCAAGAUAGUUUGAUCAUGUACAACGAAAAUUUAUAGAUGCAAUGGUCAAAAAGAGUGAUAAGAUUACUAUAAAUAUAGAUGAUGCGAGGGAGAGUAGAUAGACCUAAGUUGAAAUGUGAUGCUGUAGUGAAGAAAUAUAUGAAUUUCUUUAGUUUAGCUGACCACAUAACUUUUGGUAGAGCUGAGUGGUGAACAGGCAUUCCUUUCUUUUCUUUUUUGUUAUGUUAGAGCCAAAUGGUUCUGGCUUUGGCCUUAUGCUUUUUUGUUUUCAUUUUUAUUUUUAUGAUUGAAUUCCGAUAAGAUUUAUACAGAAGCAAUGAACCCAGGACUUCAGAAGAUGAAGUAGGUUUCUUUGGUUGUUGUAGAAGGGGAGGUCUUGAACUUACUACAACUUGGAGUUGAAAAUGCUAUGAAACAAAAUUCUGGAUGUUAAUCUUCCUUCUCUAUUAAAUAGAACAUUUAGUUUAUUUUAACAAUUUAAAUAAUAGGAUGUGCUUUUAUAUGUUGAAUGCAAUUGCUGCCGAAAGUAUUCUUUUGUAUUUUGUCACUUGAAAUUUGGCCACAUUUUGAAUUAAGGUUCCAAGGGGGAAGCCCAAGCUAUACACAUUAUAGCAUAUAAUGUUGCAUAAUUUCUUCAUCAUUGUGAGUGCUUGGAAAAUUAUAGUAUAUUUGUUUAGGACAUAUGAUACGCACCUUUUAAAUUGGCGACUCAAGAUAUGUCGACAAUAAUUUUUGUUUUGUGAGGAGAAAGACUACAUGCUCACUUUUUGGGUGGAUGACUACGUGCACGCUCACUUAAGUUGUAAAAGAGCAUGUUUAUUGUCGUUAGUUUAAAUCUUUAACGGUAUGUUUACCUCUAAUUAGAAAUGAUAAUGUAGAAAUUACUGCUUGACUAAUGUUAUACAGGAACUUCAAAUAUUCAAUGUGACCUAUUUAUAUUAAUUUAUCAUAAUUACCAAAAUGUCAAUGGCAAAUUUCAUAUGAUUUUUUUAAUUUUUAAUUUUUUUUAGUAUAAUAGUUUUCAAUGCUUGGGUAAGGUCAUGUUGUUAGUUUAUUAUAGUGUAUGUGUAAUACUUUCAUAUUUAGCAUUUUGUAUAAAAGUGAAAUUAUUAACUGAUGAGACUCAUUGCAAAAAUCAUGUGUACAAAAAAAUAAAUAUUAUUUAAAAAUUUUAUCUGUGUCACUUUAUGCAAAAAGAUUUAACGGUCAGAAUACAUUAAAACAUAUUCUAAGAAAUGUUGGAGGUAUUAAAGGUUAAAAGUUCAUAAAGAUCAAAAGGAGUUUCUUCAAAAGUAAUACAUUUAGACAAGCGUCCUUGUGGCUUUAUGCAAAGAGAUUUAACGGUCAGAAUACGUUAAAAAUAUUCCAAGAAAUGUAUGAGGUAUUAAAAAGUUAAUAGUUCGUAGAGAUCAAAAUGAGUUUCUUUAAAAGUAAUACAUUUAGACCAGCGGUAGGGCCAACUUUUUGAAAAUAAAAUAAAAAUUAACAAAAACUUGUGUGGUAGACUGUACACUUUCAAAAGCAUCAAAACUCAAUCCAUGUAGCCCAUCUAUGCUUAGCUACUUUGGUUUUCAUUUCUACUAUAUGAUCAACAUGUACUCUCCCUUCAUUCCUUUCUCCCAUUCAAGGGUCAAAGAUGCUCUGUUCUCAAAUUUUACUAUCUCUCUAUUUAAUGCACUUUCAAUGGGUAUAAUUCAACAGUUAGGAGUGAAUUGGAACAGAUGCACAGAGAGAUUUAGAGACAAAAGAUCUCGUGUCCUGUUCAAAACUCAAGUUGAUGGGUAUUUAGCUGAGAGCUUUCCAUUUCCCAGAAGGUGCAUUUGGAGCUAAGCUUCUUUGCUGUGGAAAGCAUUUAUUCAUCAGCUGCUGCAACUGUGAGAGUAGAAGUGAUCAUUCCAUCUCCUCCCUCCAUGCCUCUCGGCAAAUACUAAGCGUAGCCAAAUGCAUGAGAUGACAGCUCUUGCCGCUCCUCAGCCCUCGUCAUUGGACCGAAAGGAGCUCCUCAGCUCCCCCAUAUAUAUUUACCCUCUCUCUGUCUCUCUGCCUCUCUCAGAUGAGAAGAAGAGAUUGAGAUGGACCACAAGGGUUUGUGGCCAUGGUUCCUCCCUCCUGCUUUGCUUAUUAUAUACAGCUUGGCAAUGGUAAAUAUGUAGAAUGUUGUAAAGUACACUCAACAGAGUAAAAUGAUGCAUGUGAAUCUUUAUUUCUUUUCAUUUUUACAUUUUGGGGUGUAAAAGGUUAUGCCCUCAUUCAGAUUUUUGGCCCUUACUUCUGGAUAUAUCUAUCACCUUGGGGGUUUUGAAUAUUCUGAUCAAUCUUGUGUUCAGUCACAAAUGGACAAGAACUCUGAUUCCUUCUCUCACCUCAGAAUGAGCUUUACAUCACCAAAAAUGUUUUCUUGUGCACUACACCCCAAGAAAAUUUAAGUGUUAAAAAAAUAAAUAAAGAGUAAAUUAUAUGCGUGAUCCUUCUAA